rnacentral:rRNA from 1 species
UCCAGACUCCUACGGGAGGCAGCAGUGAGGAAUAUUGGUCAAUGGCCGUAAGGCUGAACCAGCCAAGUAGCGUGAGGGAAGACUGCCCUAUGGGUUGUAAACCUCUUUUAUGCGGGGAUAAAGGCGUCCACGUGUGGAUGUUUGCAGGUACCGCAUGAAUAAGGAUCGGCUAACUCCGUGCCAGCAGCCGCGGUAAUACGGAGGAUGCGAGUGUUAUCCGGAUUUAUUGGGUUUAAAGGGUGCGCAGGCGGAAUGUAAAGUCAGCGGUAAAAGUUCGGGGCUCAACCCCGUCGUGCCGUUGAAACUGGCGUUCUUGAGUGAGCGAGAAGUAUGCGGAAUGCGUGGUGUAGCGGUGAAAUGCAUAGAUAUCACGCAGAACUCCGAUUGCGAAGGCAGCAUACCGGCGCUCAACUGACACUCAUGCACGAAAGCGUGGGUAUCGAACAGGAUUAGAUA